AGUCGAGCGAACAGAUGAGAAGCUUGCUUCUCUGAUGUUAGCGGCGGACGGGUGAGUAACACGUGGGUAACCUACCUAUAAGACUGGGAUAACUCCGGGAAACCGGGGCUAAUACCGGAUAAUAUAUUGAACCGCAUGGUUCAAUGUUGAAAGACGGUUUCGGCUGUCACUUAUAGAUGGACCCGCGCCGUAUUAGCUAGUUGGUAAGGUAACGGCUUACCAAGGCAACGAUACGUAGCCGACCUGAGAGGGUGAUCGGCCACACUGGAACUGAGACACGGUCCAGACUCCUACGGGAGGCAGCAGUAGGGAAUCUUCCGCAAUGGGCGAAAGCCUGACGGAGCAACGCCGCGUGAGUGAUGAAGGUCUUAGGAUCGUAAAACUCUGUUGUUAGGGAAGAACAAAUUUGUUAGUAACUGAACAAGUCUUGACGGUACCUAACCAGAAAGCCACGGCUAACUACGUGCCAGCAGCCGCGGUAAUACGUAGGUGGCAAGCGUUAUCCGGAAUUAUUGGGCGUAAAGCGCGCGUAGGCGGUUUCUUAAGUCUGAUGUGAAAGCCCACGGCUCAACCGUGGAGGGUCAUUGGAAACUGGGGAACUUGAGUGCAGAAGAGGAGAGUGGAAUUCCAUGUGUAGCGGUGAAAUGCGCAGAGAUAUGGAGGAACACCAGUGGCGAAGGCGGCUCUCUGGUCUGUAACUGACGCUGAUGUGCGAAAGCGUGGGGAUCAAACAGGAUUAGAUACC
rnacentral:rRNA from 2 species